rnacentral:rRNA from 1 species
AAGGGCACCACAAGAACGCGUGGAGCAUGUGGCUUAAUUUGACUCAACGCGGGAAAUCUUACCGGGUCCGGACACACUGAGGAUUGACAGGUGUUAUCCCAAUUCACACUGAAUUGGGUGUUAAAUAUGCUAGUCCUUUCAUGAUUAUGUGAUAGGUGGUGCAUGGCCGUUCUUAGUUCGUGGAGUGAUCUGUCUGCUUAAUUGCGUUUCACUAAAGGCCAUCAUUAUAACGCAUGUAUUGCGGCAACUUUGACCCCUCUGAUUAUUUGAGCGUUGUGUCUUAGUUUUUUGCUUAGCAUCAUGCAUUUGGGCCUUGAAAGCAACGAACGUGACCGCAACCUCUUGUUGCCUCUCAUAUACAUAAAAGAGGCCUUUUAAACUAGAGGGACCGCUGUUACUUUCUUAAACCAGAGGAAGGUUGCGGCAAUAACAGGUCUGUGAUGCCCUUAGAUGUUCCGGGCUGCACACGUGCUACAAUGAUUAUUGCAGUGAGCAUCUCAUUUUAUUAUACACACCGCAUGCGCGAGUGGCGAUUAUUUAUUUAUAAUCAUGCAUCUCUGCGCGCGGUAAAGCCUGCUUCGAAAGUAAGUGGGUAAUCAAUUAGAAGUAAUGAUUUCCUAUAUUCAGCACACAUAUAUACGGCAUCUUUACCCGGCCUGCCUUGUUGCAGUGUCUCUGUGUGUAUUGAUGUUAACUUCCGUAUGUGCAAUUGUCAAUUCACGGUGGGGACAGACCAUUGUUAAUUGUUGGUCUCGGUCUUAACUAGGAAUGCCUUGUACGGGUCUUUGGUUCAACACACCACCCGGAAUACGUCCCUGCCCUUUGUACACACCGCCCGUCGCUCUUACCGAUGGACUUCUCUGUGAGUUUGAGGGACUGGAUAUUAUUUCUAUGGAAACUUAAACGAACAGUGUGGUCUAAAGGAAAGAGAAGUCGUAACAAGGCAUCGGUAGGUGAACCU